rnacentral:tRNA from 1 species
GCCCACGUAGCUCAGGGGUAGAGCACACCCUUGGUAAGGGUGAGGUCACGGGUUCAAAUCUCGUCGUGGGCUCCA